AAUUGUAACAAUAGAUUAUUCUCAGUUUCUUCAGACGUUCAUUAUAGUACUGAAAUGGAACUAUUUACUUUCAAAAUCAUUUCAAAUAUUCCAAUGCUUCGAAGAUACCACUAAUUGCUAAACAAAAAUAUCGAAACCAAUCAUUUCGACUGGCAGUUCAUCGCGUCAUCGUAUGGCAAGGGGUUAAAGUUGCAAAAACACGAUCCUCCGACUGUUCCGAGGUUUCCCUAGGUUCUCACAGACUACCAGUUAGAAAAGUGACGCACUUGUAGACCGUUGACGGGUGUUUAUCGAGCAGAGCGCCCUCGAAGGCCUCGUAGAUCCCCGGGUCUGUCAGUUUCUCCAGGUUCCCGGGCUGCGCCACGGACCCGAAAUAUCGCGAGUAGCUGGUGAAGUAAUCACCGUAAAAGUUCCUCGCCUCGUCAGUCAUCGAGUUCCUCAUCGCCUCGAAGUGUUCCGCUUGCCGCGCCAAUAUACUGCUCUCCCUGAAGAAAGAUCCUACAAGAAGACCAGGAAUAAAAGAAACGACCUUGACGCCAUACUUCUCGAGUUCGAGCCUAAUGGCGGUGGCCCAGGCGCCGAUCGCGGCCUUCGUCCCGCUGUAAGCGGCCACUCCAGGGAUCGGCUGGAUGUUACAGUGGCUCGAGAUAACGACAAUGCGGCUGGAGUGCGCUCGGAUCAUCGGCAUCAGUUCUCGAGUGAUCCUCAUCGUACCAAGGAAAUUCACUUCCACUUGACUCCUGAUCUGAUCCUCUGUUUGCCAUUCGAAUUCGCCGAAGAUCAUCACCGCGGCGUUAUUGACCAAGCACCGUAGCUCUGUGAACAGAUCGUUCCGAUACUCGUUCAUUUACGAUGUCUUAGUAAUGUUAAUUACAUAUUUCUCUGUCAAGAUAUUUCUUAUCGAAACAAUCCAACAGAAACUCGGAGUGCGAAGGGUCAACAAAUCCUCGGUUGUUAAUUUUCAAAGAAAAUUUCAUGGAACAGUCACUCUCAAUGAAAGAUACGUUAUCCUCGAUCAGAGUACUUCAGACUAAUUCUAUAUUUGACAACAAUAAUCUAUAUUUGAUAACAAUAAUCUAAAUUUGACACCCGUUGAUCCCGAUAUAUUUCAGAACAAAUAUUCGCAACACACAUUCGCACUUCCAUAAAUUCAAACCAAAUCCCCGACACACCUAUGCUCCUAAAAAACACCUGUACCCUCAAAAAUACUUCUCACUUUCAAUAAAGAAACUGUUCGAAGAGUUCAUCCAGGACUUAUCCUAGUGCGAAUUUACCUAAAUUCUCCCGCGCCAGGAGCGUUCGCACGGAGUCAGCGAAAUCAAUCACGCUGACAGGUUCCGUAACAUUCAGGGGGUAAACGAACGCGUCCGCCUCCCUCAAGUUUCUCGCCCCCAGACCGUCGUUCCGCAGCACGCCGGCGAUCACGGUCGCCCCCAGUUGCCGACAGUGAAGGGCCAAACUGUAACCCAACCCUGAAUCGCAGCCAGUCACGACGAUCGCCUGAUUCGCUCGUAUUUUAUCCCGGGACUUACACCAGGAGUACAAAUAAUUUCCACCUGAAACGAGGAAAUAUUGGACUCGGUUGUUGUUCGAUCGUUCGAGAUCAACGCUGCUGUUGUAUCUUGAUGUAUAAUGCGACUUGUUUGUCAGAUAGUUGAUAAGUAAUGUCAAUUUGAUCAAGGAAAUUGAAUAAUUAGCCGACAGGGAGGUGAUCGGCGAAUGGAAGAGAUCGAUGAUUGGAUGUAUUUGAUAGUUUAUUUGGGAUAAUUAAUAUUGGAACGUUGUUUGCGGAGUAGGUGGAAUUGUCAUUGACACUAGAACUACCGUUCAGAAUGACUAGUUUCGAGUUGUUUGUUUCGCAAUCAUUAAUAUCUUGAAAGCACUCAAUAUUUGAAAUGAUCUUGAAAAUAAACAGUUUCUUUUGAAUACUCCAAUGAAUAUCCGAAGAAACUAAAAAUAAUCUAUUGUCACAAUUUUUAUAGAGAUUACAUAUCAAUCGUAUUAAAUGCUCGGUAGUUCUAAUGUUAACCAUUUGACUGGGUUAAUGACAAUUUCAGGGUCUUUGCAAACACCAGGAAAGUGGCAAGCGAUCGCAUUCUUUCGUUUCAGUUCAGAAACUGAACGCUUUAUUUUUACACAAGAUUGUAAAUAUCGAUCGUUGUUCCAUUUCUAAGCAGGUGAUAAGAAGAAUGAAUAAUUAAGAGACAAGUAAAUAAAGUUACUUCGAUACGAACCGACAGAGUGACACUUUUAGUCAGCGCAGCGGAGAACCGCCAUUGCGCCGCUCGCCACUCGAGCGGUUAGGAAUAUUAUUCGAAGGAACUUUCAUUAAUCCUUUGCGAACGAAGUGCCAAACCUUCAACAGAUGAAGCUAAAUUAUACAUCAAUUGUAUAAUUGAUGGAACAAAAGGAAACUGCGUGCUGAUCUCUUGCUAUUCGACUUGAUGUUAGCGUGAGUUCUAUCAUGUCAGUGUUGAUCGAUGCAGUGGGUAUCACGAUUGCAACGAGUCAUCGACUUUUGUGCUGAUGUCUGAUCCGGAUAAGAGGAUAGUCGACCGAAUAUUUUUCUAAUGUAAUUAGUGCAAUUGGUGUGUUGGUGUAAAAUCUUCGCCACAAGUCGGACACAUUGGAAGGUAAGGGGUUGGUCUAACAAUGUUUAUCCUUACUUACCGAUGCAACACAGGGAAAUCGUCGACGCCGUGUAUUUGUGUCCCUUGUUCCACGAAUAAACAAGACUCAACAAGGUCGCUACAUCAACAGCGAGCAUCUUCGAGUGUCUUCUUAAGCACUUUGCUAAUCCCAUCGCCGAAUUGAAGCUCAACACUGGAACUACCAAAUGCGUCAAAAUCACCGAGUUCUGAAUUAUUCUUUUAUAAACGAAGCUUGAAAUAAUAUUGGAACUUUGAAAGGACAGAUACGUCCCUAAGAAAUGAAUUUAUCAGCAUGCGAACAGACUUAUCAAUCGAAACCUAAAUAGAUGAACUAAUUCCUAUAGGAAAAAUUAGAAAAUUCUUCUGAAGAUUCGACUGCUUGGUAGUUCUAGCAAAUCUAAUUGUAACACUGUCAACGUUCACACGGUGUACUCUAUAUUUUUUUAAACAAUAUCAUAAUCAAUGAGAAUAAAAUGACACGAUUGCAGUUCACAUUUCAAAUUCCUCACGUAUAGAUUAUUGUUUACCAGUAAAGAAGUCAAUUUCAAAUUGCAAAUGGCGCACAAGUCACAGCAGAUCUAAGGAUCGCAAAGAAAAACGGAAAUCGGAGAUUUUUAAUGAUUAA